CUGGUUGUUGCUAAAUCAGGCACAAGUGCGCUCUGCCAAACUGCAUAGCUGGAAGGAAUUUUCAGAGCUGUUUGUUCAUAAGGCAGGUUCUGAAAUCAUUCCUGCAGAGACAGAAUUUGGUUCAAGAAGGGUCAGAGGAAUGUCUUCAGGAACCCUGCCCUAUCCAGCUAUAUCUGCAGAAAUUUGAUUAGCCGAUGGUGUGAUGAAUGAGAUACUACCGUUUCAACCAGUAAAUCCCUUGGUCUAAGUAGUCUCAGAUGUUUAAAACAUAUUUUCUGAAAUAUGUAUUGUGAUUCAGACUCUGUGAGGCCUUGGGCUGUGUGCUACCCAAAAUAGGAACAUACCCUUGAAGAAUUAGAAUCAGAAAGUGGAGACAAACAAAACACUUCUGACCACAAGAGGAAUCGGCAAGACCUUUUACUUUUGGCCCACAAGCAAAGUAACUUGGGAACCCGAAGGUGUGAUUAAUGCUGGGGUGGAAAGGAGGACAUUUGAGAAAGCCUUUAAGGAUGAGAAAAAGGCUCUCAGGUGAAUUUAGGAAAAAUACAGGCUCUGACACCCCGCUGCAGUCCACUGUGGUUGCCCUACCACAGGUGAGA
rnacentral:lncRNA from 1 species